rnacentral:lncRNA from 1 species
GAUGGCUGUUAUCGGUAGUGGCUAUGUCUAAGCCGGUGAGCAUGAGUAUAUCGGCAAGUGUAGGAGAAGCAGGGCCAUGGCCAAACACAAAAGCAUUGAGCGUGUCUGACCAAAAGUACGAAGCAGCAAUUAGCAGUGACUCAUUCCUCUCCAUAUCGGCAAGAGACAAUCUAAUACACUGGUCUAGCUUCCGCUCGCCCCAUUGAACCUCAUUUGAGUGGCUAACUCUCAGAAACUAAUCCUUCCAUCCCUUGGUAGGACUGGGCC